GUCAGACUAUGGUAAUCGGGUCGAUUUUGGUGGCCGAGGUGGUGGUAGAGGUGGAGUGUCGAACCGUGGUGGUGGUGAGGGCGGGUACCAGAGAGUUGAUAGCAUGGGUGGAUCAAAUGGUGGCCGUGGGAACCGCCCUGGAUCAAUGGCUGCCAAUGGGCCCUCGAGAACUUUUGCUCCGCGGGUGCCUGCUCCAGCUUGAGACAUAAAUUAAGAUAAGUCUUAGGAUUUUGGUUUUGUCUGUGCGCCUGUGGUCUUCAUUAGUCGGUAUUUGUUAUUGUUAACAGGUUGGUGUCUCUGAAACUGUCA
rnacentral:misc_RNA from 1 species